rnacentral:rRNA from 1 species
UACGUAGGGGCCUAGCGUUGUCCGGAAUUAUUGGGCGUAAAGAGCUCGUAGGCGGUUCGGCAAGUCGGAUGUGAAAUCUCCACGCUUAACGUGGAGGGGCCAUUCGAAACUGCCGUGACUCGAGUCCGGUAGGGGAGUGGUGGAAUUCCCGGUGUAGCGGUGAAAUGCGUAGAUAUCUGGAGGAAUACCGGUGGCGAAGGCGGCAUCCUGGACCGGCAUUGACGCUGAGGAGCGAAAGCUAGGGGAGCAAACGGGG